GCUGCCUUCAAACUGUCGGCCCCAAUUGGUGAUGAUGACGGCUGGAGUUCCAUAGUGAGCAAUCCAGUUGUCCACAAAUGCUGCUGCCACCGUCUGAGCGUUGAUGUUGGGUAGUGGAAUAGCUUCAGAUCAUCUGGAAAAUUUAUCGAUUAAGGCAAUUUCUCGAGGACGUCCGCAAUGAUGUCGAGGUUUCCUCGUCCAGGUGACGAGGUACAGCGUUGUACUUCUGCUUAUCAAACCGCAUUCGAUACGUACUGAACUCGCAGUCUAAGUGCACGGAUCAGAGUCUCGAACAAUUUCGUCAGAAGGCAGAGUCUCCUGAGCGAAGCCUUCUUCUGGGUCCUGAGGCACGGAGAUAGACAGAGGAUUUCGUCCCUGCGAACCCGAAGGGGUACGAGGAAGGGACAUUUCU